UGGAUGUGAGGAGGGAAGACGAAAGGGUUUAUCGCUGCAAUUCUAAUCCCACUGUUCCUCUCCUUUUCCCACCCUCCUGUAUUGUUUACCCCCUUUAAUCUCCUCCGGCCUUUAUUCCCCAUCUGCAGCAUUUUUCAUUUAUUUUAUCCCUAUCAUAUUUGAACCUCCUACUCCAUAUUUUCCAUCUCCACCAAUGUUGCACCAUCCUUUUCCCACCCCAUCCGGGAGUGGGCGCAGGAACGGGAACUCUGACCACAGGCUGUAGGAAGCGUCAGGAGACCAGGCUGGGAGGUGGCAGAUGUCUGGGUGGUACCUCAGAGGAUGUCUAAGUCUCCAGAAUGUUUUCCAGUCCUCUAUUGAAUCUGUGCACACAUACACACAUAACACACACAAGUGCACCGGCUCCACUGUUCUCCCUCUCCACAUCAUCUUGUCUCCCUCUUCCAGGAAAUGUGCGGUGCCGUGUUAUGAUCGAUGGGUUGCGUUUAAAAACGAAGCGGCCCCCACUGUUUGUUUGUCUCUGUUACGCAUGGUUGCAGAAUGACAGCUGGGACCAGUGCAUGGUUUUGAGUCUGUCUGGCAAGAAAAGUUGGGCUCCUUUGGUUUAACUCGUCUUUUGUUCCAAAGGAGGAAAGAGAAGAGAAUGUCACAUGGCUCAGAUAUGAAUACCCUUUGGUAAACCAUAUUCACUCUGGACACUUGAGGAAUUUUGAACAUUACAUGCUACAGCUAGAAUUUAUGUUAUGUUGUCCAAGCUUGAUUAUGCAGCAGAAGAAAUCAGCUUUGCAAGUGUGUGUGUAUUUAGGAUGUUUGCCAUCAGAUGGAGUCUGUUUGAGGAAGGAAACGAAAGAAAGGCAGGAGAUGUGUGUUUAGCGUGUGCGUGAGGAUAUGAAUGCUUUAAAUUGUUGCUCAUCUCUGUCUGUUCUAUCAUCUCUUGUGUAUACAUACAGUACAUGCCAAUCCAUGCUCUGUGUGUGUGUGUGUGUGUGUGUGUGUGUGUGUGCGCGCUGCCAAAGCAUAAAAAGUGAGUAAUCAGCAAAACAAACAUACACACAUAAGAAGAUAUGUUUUCGAUCUGGAAGUCUAAGUCAGGAAAUGGUUUCAUCUGAUAAUACAUUCCGCUUUUAUAGCCCAAAAAUGAAAUUCAAGCAUUUCCUGAUCAUGACUGACGAUGAUUCACUGAUUCACUAAUUUCCAUUAUCUUGGCAUGGUGCAUUGGAAAUUAACCAAAACUACACUGAUAAAAACCCAGACUGCAAACAUUGUAUUUCAGCUAAUCUUAUAACAACAUUUUCUGUGUAAUCUAUUUCCAGAGGGAGUUUUUUCUGCCCUAUUUGUGAGGCAGAAUGAUCAAAAAAGACUUUUAUACCUGCCUCACUGGUGACAAAAGUUUAUUUUGAUAGUUAUCGACAUUUUGUUAUCAAAGCUGACAAACAAGAGGAGAAUAGCAAGGGAUGAUAAGGUCUAGAUUUUCAAGUUGCUAUUUGAGGUGUUCUACUUUACACAUUUUUUUGCUACGGUUAUUUUUUAUUUUGUCAAAACAUUGCAUUGUUCUUUGAAAAUUCUGACAUCAAUUAGGCCAAUUCUUAUCACAGUUUUUUAUUUACUCUUUUACUUUCAUUAAGUUCUCCAAACAUAGUUUCAGUGUGAAAAUCUCUUGAUGAAAGGAGCUAAACUGAGCUACCGCAAUCUAUUUUAACGCUGCAUUCAUUGAUUGUGGCCACUAGGGGGGCAGUAGAACCUCAGAACAAACUGACAAGCACUGCCCCAACAUGCUAUAUUUGCCUUACAUGGUUGUUAUGGCUACCAUGGGCUACCAGUUUUUUUUACAGAAAAUACCCAGAUUUUUAAUAUGCAUUUAAGCACAGUUAAAAGAUUUUCACCUGGAUUGUAUGUCCCUUGGCACAACAGCUGUUGUGUUUCCUGCUGCAAGAUAACACACUGAAAAAGGGGAGGUGAGGGAUUGUUUAAUUUACAAAUAUGCAAUUAUAUACUACACAAUUUAUUUAUAUUUCCUUUUCAAACAUAUUUCAAUCUCGCAGAAUUCUUUUAAAAUUGAGUGAUGUAAAUUCAACUAGUCUCAAUCAUGUUGAGAUAAAUUGAUGAAGUUGUGUUUUGUUCAAAAUGGAAUGCCCCACCUCCCGGGAACAGGCUCAACAACAGCCAGGGACCGUUACACACUGCGCCAUUUUGUCUCCCAUUGCAAAAGAAAAAAGGCAUUUGUCGUGGACCUCCAGAGCUUUCUACACAGCGAAGAUAUCAGGUGUUCCUCCAGCCAAGGGCAUUGAUUGACUUCUGCUACGCUUUGAGUGAUGCUCCAAAGUCUUCAUGGUAGUGAUAAAUGCAGAAUUUGUGUAUUUCCACAGUCUCCUGCAGCCCAGAUGUACAACCUGACAAGCUGCUGAAGAUAUUUGUAAAAAGAGGACAGAGAAGCGAAACACUAGAGAGCAUUAUGGCACCCAUGGCUUAAAUAAGAAAAAAACAACACUUUUCUGUUGCUGUACAUAUUGCUGCUAACAUAUGAAUGAGAAAUAAGGAUUCUAACCAAAUAACCUUUUCUGCUGCUCUGUCUUGACCAGGAUGACGAUGUUGAUUUAGGACGAGAGGCAUGGGACUUAGUACUUACUAUCUGUGCUGUGGACAAGAUACAAGAGGAAUCAAAACAGGAGGAAGACAUAACAGCGCAGCAGAAACCUUGAAAGAGAGCAACCUCAGCCCCUGCCUGAAGAGAGCUUUAAUCAUCAGAGACAUCAGAUCCGAGUCUCCACCCCCCUCACAACAACCACCGGUCGCAGAUCAUGCUCUCAUCCAGGGAUCCACUGAGGAGACCACAGUGGGAAUACGUUAUCAAAGACCAGGAUACCUGCGUGUAAACCAGCGGACAUCGGGACUGUCCUCAAGGGCAAGAUGGUGUUGGUAGAUUGCAGAGAAAUGUAUUUGCGGCUGCCAUUUUGUUUGAACUCAAGUCCACCUUUAAAGCACUCCAGGUUGUCAUGGAGCUGGAAAGCAACGCACUCUCCAGGAUCAGCAUCAAAGACUAUCAGUGUGCUGUUACCAAUGUGCAAUGGCAAGACACAGUUUUACAUGUUCACCAUCUUGGAUUGUGGACAUUAUUGCUCCCUCCGUUGCACUGAUCGUGGACUUGUGUUAUUCAUUCUAAAAGCUUUAAGCAUGUACUUUAGUUCAUCUCACAUGAACUAGGACUGUUUGUUUGUAUGAUACCUCCCUGCUGCUUUUUAAGUUUUAAGUCUUUGUUUGUUGUUGUUGUAGAUAUGUAAUGUUCCUCUUAGCUUCUACUUUUGAUGGAUGUUAAUUUUAUCUCCUGAUAUUGUCCUGCUUUCCUUUGAUUAAUUUGCAAUAUCUUAAAAUUAUGGCUCUUACAAAGAGAGACAUUUAACAGUCCAGUGACAUGAUUAAAUGAUGUGAAGUAAGUCAGAACUUGUAUUGGCAUUACUACAAUACUAUAUAUAUGCACACUUGUAAAACCCUAAACUUGUUUGAACUGGGCUCUGGGUGGAUUUUGAGUCCAAUGUCUAAGUUGUACAAUAUUCUUUGACCAAAUACAAGUCAUUUUUGUGCAAGAAAUGUGU